rnacentral:lncRNA from 1 species
CUCUCUCCCCCUCAAACCAUUCUCACACCAUCCUCUCUCUGUCUUGAGAAUGGUUUGAAUUCAGUUCAGUUCCGUAAGCUUUUUGAUGGGGGCAGCAAGCAGCAAAGAUGGUUCCGGAUGAAGAAGAAUAACAGAGUGUUUCGUUGAUCGAUGAUGGUGAUGAUGGUGAUAUAUCAAACAAAGACAGUAAGUAGCUCACAUCAAGGCUUUGUUCCUGUCUUAAUCUUGCUCUUUAUUAUUUUUUAAAUAUGAAAUAUGAUAUUAGUAGCAAUGCAAUGAUUUUUUUGUUUCUUUCUUAAAUUUUCUUUUAUCUGCAAAAAGAUCCGAGUGCCGUCGGCGUUUUAUCAAAGUGGUGGUGGAUAUCACGGAGAGAACUACACAACGGCGUGCUGGGCUCACGUGUGGCCGUGUCUCCUUGUUAAUGGGCUUUCCUCUCUGGGCUCUUUUUGCUACCAAAGUCCAAC